rnacentral:rRNA from 1 species
UACAGAGGGGGCAAGCGUUGUUCGGAAUUACUGGGCGUAAAGGGCGCGUAGGCGGCCUUCUAAGUCGAACGUGAAAUCCCCGGGCUCAACCCAGGAACUGCGUCCGAUACUGGAUGGCUUGAGUUCGGGAGAGGGAUGCGGAAUUCCAGGUGUAGCGGUGAAAUGCGUAGAUAUCGGGAGGAACACCAGUGGCGCAGGCGGCGUCCUGGACCGGCACUGACGCUGAGGAGCGAAAGCGUGGGGAGCGAUCCGG